GACGAACCGUGCGAACGUUGUUCGGAAUAACUGGGCUUAAAGGGCGCGUAGGCGGGCUGCCAAGUUCGGGGUGAAAUCCUCCCGCUCAACGGGAGAACUGCCCCGAAUACUGGCGGUCUCGAGGGAGGUAGGGGCGUGCGGAACUAUGGGUGGAGCGGUGAAAUGCGUUGAUAUCCAUAGGAACUCCGGUGGCGAAGGCGGCACGCUGGACCUCUUCUGACGCUGAGGCGCGAAAGCCAGGGGAGCAAACGGG
rnacentral:rRNA from 1 species